AGUGGGUGUGGGUGUGGGUGUGGGUAUAAAGUCAUUCAAAAGUGGGAAGGAGCUGCCUUUUGCAUUUGCACUGACUCAUUUCAGACUGGACAGAACGGGUACAGAAGUGGGAGUCCAAAGGCCAGAUCAUCUUGAGAAUUUAAAUCCCUAGGAAUUCACUGGAAGCUUUGUUAAGAAUUUCAUCCUUCCCAAGGGACGUGGAAGAGUUUAAGUUUUUCCAUAUUGAGCAUUAAGUGUGAAUGCCAACCAACAUGUCUCCCAUCAACCUUCUGGCUUUCUUGUUAGACGUGAGGGAGCUAACCAUCUGGGGC
rnacentral:lncRNA from 1 species